CUCCACCGGAAAAAGAAGAGUGGCGAACGGGUGAGUAACACGUGGGUAACCUGCCCAUCAGAAGGGGAUACACUUGGAAACAGGUGCUAAUACCGUAUAACAAUCAAAACCNCAUGGUUUUGAUUUGAAAGGCGCUUUCGGGUGUCGCUGAUGGAUGGACCCGCGGUGCAUUAGCUAGUUGGUGAGGUAACGGCUCACCAAGGCCACGAUGCAUAGCCGACCUGAGAGGGUGAUCGGCCACAUUGGGACUGAGACACGGCAAACUCCUACGGGAGGCAGCAGUAGGGAAUCUUCGGCAAUGGACGAAAGUCUGACCGAGCAACGCCGCGUGAGUGAAGAAGGUUUUCG
rnacentral:rRNA from 1 species